GAAGAGGCCGUUGGAUCUCAAGGACAUUCCUCUGCUCGCUCCCAAAGACCGGGCAAAGACCAACUACAGAAUCUUGAACUUUAACUGGGAGAAGCUAAAGGCUGAGAAUCCCUCAAAACCACCUUCUCUUGCUUGGGCCAUCUUGAAGUCGUUUUGGAAAGAAGCGGCUUGUAAUGCAGUCUUUGCUGGCUUGAACACUCUUGUCUCUUAUGUGGGUCCUUAUUUGGUGAAUGACUUUGUUAAUUAUCUGGGUGGGAAAGAGACUUACCCUCACGAGGGUUACAUCCUCGCUGGUAUCUUCUUUGCGGCCAAGCUCGCGGAGACUUUAACAACUCGGCAGUGGUAUCUUGGUGUCGAUAUCUUGGGGAUGCAUGUCAGAUCAGCUCUAACGGCUAUGGUGUACAGAAAAGGGCUCAAACUCUCGAGUAUAACCAAGCAGAACCACACGAGCGGCGAAAUUGUGAACUACAUGGCCGUUGAUGUCCAGAGAGUAGGUGACUACUCUUGGUACCUUCAUGAUAUGUGGAUGCUUCCUCUACAGAUUGUGCUUGCUCUCGGGAUCUUGUACAGGAGUGUGGGGGUGGCGGCUGUAGCCACGUUGGCGGCCACAGUUUUCUCUAUUAUCGCCACCAUCCCAUUGGCCAAAAUCCAAGAGGACUAUCAAGACAAAUUGAUGUCUGCUAAAGAUGAUCGGGCAAAGACCAACUACAGAAUCUUGAACUUUAACUGGGAGAAGCUAAAGGCUGAGAAUCCCUCAAAACCACCUUCUCUUGCUUGGGCCAUCUUGAAGUCGUUUUGGAAAGAAGCGGCUUGUAAUGCAGUCUUUGCUGGCUUGAACACUCUUGUCUCUUAUGUGGGUCCUUAUUUGGUGAAUGACUUUGUUAAUUAUCUGGGUGGGAAAGAGACUUACCCUCACGAGGGUUACAUCCUCGCUGGUAUCUUCUUUGCGGCCAAGCUCGCGGAGACUUUAACAACUCGGCAGUGGUAUCUUGGUGUCGAUAUCUUGGGGAUGCAUGUCAGAUCAGCUCUAACGGCUAUGGUGUACAGAAAAGGGCUCAAACUCUCGAGUAUAACCAAGCAGAACCACACGAGCGGCGAAAUUGUGAACUACAUGGCCGUUGAUGUCCAGAGAGUAGGUG
rnacentral:lncRNA from 1 species